UGGAACUGCAUUUGAUACUGGCAAACUAGAGUAUGGUAGAGGAAUGGGGAAUUUCUGGUGUAGCGGUGAAAUGCGUAGAGAUCAGAAGGAACACCAAUGGCGAAGGCAACAUUCUGGACCAAUACUGACACUGAGGGACGAAAGCGUGGGGAUCAAACAGGAUUAGAUACCCUGGUAGUCCACGCUGUAAACGAUGAGUACUAGCUGUUGGAUUCGGUGUAAAGGAUCUAGUGGCGUAGCUAACGCGUUAAGUACUCCGCCUGGGGACUACGGCCGCAAGGCUAAAACUCAAAGGAAUUGACGGGGACCCGCACAAGCGGUGGAGCAUGUGGUUUAAUUCGAUGCAACGCGAAGAACCUUACCUGGUCUUGACAUCCUGCGAACUUUCUAGAGAUAGAUUGGUGCCUUCGGGAACGCAGUGACAGGUGCUGCACGGCUGUCGUCAGCUCGUGUUGUGAAAUGUUGGGUUAAGUCCCGCAACGAGCGCAACCCCUAUUGAUAGUUACCAUCAUUAAGUUGGGUACUCUAUUGAGACUGCCGCUGACAAGGCGGAGGAAGGUGGGGACGACGUCAAGUCAUCAUGGCCCUUACGACCAGGGCUACACACGUGCUACAAUGGGUAUUACAGAGGGCAGCGAAGUAGCGAUAUGGAGCGAAACUCAGAAAGGUACUCUUAGUCCG
rnacentral:rRNA from 1 species